CGGGACGGGUGAGUAACGCGUGGGCAACCUGCCUUACACAGGGGGAGUAACACUUAGAAAUAGGUGCUAAUACCGCAUAAGCGCACAGCUUUGCAUGAAGCAGUGUGAAAAACUCCGGUGGUGUAAGAUGGACCCGCGUCUGAUUAGCUGGUUGGCAGGGUAAAGGCCUACCAAGGCGACGAUCAGUAGCCGGCCUGAGAGGGUGAACGGCCACAUUGGGACUGAGACACGGCCCAAACUCCUACGGAAGGCAGCAG
rnacentral:rRNA from 1 species